rnacentral:rRNA from 1 species
GAUGAACGCUGCCUGUGUGCCUAAUACAUGCAAGUCGAUCGAACACACGAGGAGCUUGCUCCUCUGACGUUAGCGGCUGACUGGUGAGUCACACGUUGAUAACCUACCUAUAAGACUGGGACAUCUUCGGGCAACCGGAGCUAAUACCGGAUAAUAUAUUGAUCCGCUUUGUUCAAUAGUCAAAGACGGCUUUGCUGUCACUUAUAGAUGGAUCCGCGCCGCCUUAGCUAGUUGGUAAGGUAACGGCUUACCAAGGCGACGAUGCGUAGCCGACCUGAGAGGGGGACCGUCCGCGCUGGAACCGGAAAAAGGUCCAGACUCCUACGGGGGGCAGCAGGAGGGAAUAUUCCGCAAUGGGCGAAAGCAUGACGGGGCAGCGCCGCGUGAGUGGUGAAGGUCUUCGGUUCGUAAAACUCUGUUAUGAGGGAAGAACAAAUGUGUAAGUAACUAUGCACGUCUUGACGGUACCUAAUCAGAAAGCCACGGCUAAAUACGUG